rnacentral:lncRNA from 1 species
GCUGCUGCUGCACCAUCUGUAGAUGUUGAGUCUGUUAGCACUAUGCCACCUUCUGCGUUGGAUCCCCAGGUUUUCGAACAGUUCAGACAGUUCUUCGUUUCUAAUCCUACGGCCAUGUCAGCAUCUAUGUCUCAUUCGGGUUCAGUUUCUUCUAGUACCUCAGGUAUUCCUUCCUCCUUGUGGAUAUUGGAUUCUGGUGCGUCUCAUCACAUGUCCCCUCAUUUGUCAUCGUUUGGUUCUUUGUCACCCAUUUCACCAAUCUCUGUUAUGUCCGCGAGUGCUGUACCUAUGUCAGUCGAGGGUGUUGGUUCUGUUACUACCCCUCACAUUGUCCUCUCUGAUGUUUAUUACAUUCCCAAACUUGCUUUAAAUCUUGUUUCGGUCAGUCAGUUGUGUAAGGCUGGUAAUUGGGUGUUUUUUUCUGAUUCUGUUUGUGUUAUACAGGACCAACACACUCAGAGGGUGAUUGGGACCGGCCGUAGGUUGGGGGAACUCUAUGUCUUGGAGAAUCUCAAAGUGUCUGUAGUUGCUGCCUCUAGCAUAGAUUUAUCUUCUUUUCGUUUGAGUCCUUUGUCUUCUCAGUUUUAUCUUUGGCAUUCCAGAUUAGGACAUGUGUCAGUUUCACGUUUACGUUUUUUGGUCUCUAGUGGUGCUUUGGGUCAUGUGAACACUAGUGAUAUUUCAGAUUGUAGUGGUUGUAAACUGGCAAAAUUUUCUGCCUUACCGUUUAAUAAAAGUGUGUCUUAUUCUGUUGCUCCUUUUGAUAUUAUUCAUUCUGAUGUAUGGGGACCAGCGCCAGUAUCCACUAAGGGUGGAUCGACCUAUUAUGUUUCGUUUAUAGAUGACUAUACUCGUUAUACCUGGGUGUAUCUUAUGAAACGCAGAUCUGAUUUCUUUGGCAUUUACAACAACUUUAGAGCCCUUGUUAAAACACAACAUUCGGCUGUGAUAAAGUGUUUCAGGUGUGACUUAGGGGGUGAAUAUACCUCUAAUGACUUCACUCAGUUACUUGCCUCUGAUGGUACCAUACACCAGUCAUCUUGUACCGACACUCCUGAGCAGAACGGUCUGGCAGAAAGAAAACAUCGUCAUAUUGUUGAGACAGCACGCUCUUUACUUUUGUCUGCAGAGGUUCCUAGUAUUUUUUGGGGAGAAGCAGUUCUAACUGCUGUAUAUGUGAUUAAUCGUAUUCCUACUGCAUUGACUUCAGGGAUGUCUCCGUUUGAGAAACUAUAUGGUCACCCGCCGAAUUAUUCUGCAUUACGAGUUUUUGGAUGUACUUGCUUUGUUCUUCGUCCUCAUGUUGAACGAAAUAAGUUAGGGUCAAAAUCAGCUAUAUGUGUGUUUUUGGGGUAUGGUAUUGGACAAAAAGGAUAUCGUUGCUAUGAUCCUGUAAGUCAGAAAUUAUAUGUUUCACGACAUGUCACUUUUUUGGAACAUAUUCCUUUUUAUUCCAUUCCAGCUAAAACCCAUGAUGUGACAAAGUCAGAUAUUCGGCUUAUUGAUCCCUUUGGGAUUGACAUAGAGGUUCCAGUUCCGGAUUCAUCCAUGCCAUCUGGUGUGCCACCUGAUAGUGCUUCAGCCUCGCCUGUGCCUGAGUCUGCUCCUUCGACUGUUGAGACUGGAGACCCACCACCUCUGAGGAGGUCUACUCGACCUUGUAAGUCCACCAAACUGCCAGAUUUUUACUAUUCUACAUAUUCAGCCUCAUUUGCUUCCUUUAUUGCAAACAUACAUCAUUUGUCUGAACCUGAGUCGUAUAGAGAGGCUGUGUCUGAUCCUCUUUGGCAGAAUGCUAUGGCUGAGGAACUUGCUGCUCUUCAUCAUACACAUACAUGGGAUUUGGUUACUCUCCCACCUGGUAAGCAUGCGAUUGGUUGUCGAUGGGUGUAUAAGAUAAAAACAAAAUCUGAUGGGUCUGUUGAGCGAUACAAGGCAAGACUUGUGGCAAAAGGGUAUUCACAACAAUAUGGUAUGGAUUAUGAGGAGACUUUUUCCCCCGUAGCAAAGAUGACGACUGUUCGCACUAUGAUUGCUGUUGCAUCCGUUCGACAGUGGAAGAUAUUUCAGAUGGAUGUCAAGAAUGCUUUUCUGAAUGGUGAUCUCCACGCGGAAGUUUAUAUGACUCCUCCCCCAGGUAUUGACCACCAGCCAGGUGAAGUUUGUCGGCUUCGAAAAGCUUUAUAUGGUCUCAAACAAGCCCCUCGUGCUUGGUUUGAGAAAUUCUCCACUGUUAUUACUUCCCUUGGAUUUGUCCCGAGUAACCAUGAUUCAGCAUUGUUUGUUAGAUGUACAAGUGCAGGGCGAAUUCUAUUGUCCUUAUAUGUAGAUGAUAUGAUUAUUACUGGUGAUGAUCAUAGUGGUAUUGAGUUAUUGAAGCAUGAUUUGGCUCAUCGAUUUGCAAUGAAGGACUUGGGCUUGCUGCGUUAUUUUCUGGGUAUUGAGGUGGCUCAGUCUAAGAAAGGGUAUCUUCUUUCUCAGACUAAGUAUAUAUCUGACUUGUUUACACGGGCGCGUCUUUCUGACAACAGGACUGUAGAUACUCCCCUUGAAACCAAUGCACGUUACUCUCCUAGUGAUGGUGUUCCAUUAUCAGAUCCGAGUCUUUAUCGGACUAUUGUGGGUAGUUUGGUUUAUCUUACGGUUACUCGUCCAGAUAUAGCACAUGCAGUUCAUGUUGUUAGCCAGUUUGUUACUGCUCCUACUUCUGUGCACUGGGGAGCUGUACUUCGUAUUCUAAGGUAUCUUCGUGGCACUCAGUUUCAGAAUCUCUUGUUUCCCUCGACGUCAUCUCUCGAGUUGCGAGCCUAUAGUGAUGCUGAUUGGGAUGGAGAUCGCAAUGAUCGUAAAUCCACCACUGGUUUUUGUGUGUUUCUUGGAGACUCUUUAAUCUCGUGGAAGAGCAAGAAACAAGAUGUUGUCUCUAGAUCUUCCACGGAGGCUGAGUAUCGUGCUAUGGCUGUGACUACAUGUGAGAUUAUUUGGUUACGUUGGCUUCUUGCAGAUAUGGGGGUUCACAUUUCUAUGCCUACUCCCCUGCAUUGUGAUAACAAAAGUGCGGUACAAAUUGCAAAGAAUUCUGUCUUCCAUGAGCGUACGAAGCACAUUGAGAUUGAUUGUCACUUCACCCGUCAUCAUUUACAGCUCGGGACCAUAUCGCUUCGCUCUUGACAAUUAAGAACUGAAUUACAAGGGUCUAUUGAAUGCAGUUUUACCCUGCAUUUGUGCAAGAGGUUCUUUUCCUGACUUGAGCCGGUGACCUCUUAAUCUCAUGACAACAGUUGCAAGAGGUUCUUUUCCUGGCUUGAGUCAGUGACCUCCUAAUCUUAUAACAGUUUUUUUGUAUUGAACUAAUAGUGUAAAGAUUUUCGUACGUUGAUAAUUGUAUUGCUCGGACUUUUUAAUAAUAUUACUGCACUCGUGUUGGAUCCUCAGUAAAUGAAUUACAUUUGGAGUAACUGUGUCUUACGUAUACUGACAGUUAUGUUGUUCAAACGUAACUAUCCAAGAAUAUUGUUGGUCCUGUGCCGACUCCUUCGAAAAUAAGUUCAUUUUUUGAAGAAUUCGACAGGUACUUGUUGACAUUCGAUAAUUUUAUUUUAUUUUCAAAAUAAUUUAUCAUCAAAAAGGGGGAAGGAUAUCUGAUGAGGUUAUGGAUUCUCAAUCCACUUACAAUAUUUUUUAUAACUAGACGAAUAAGAUUAAAAACAAAGAAAAGUUUCAAGUUUUCCAUGAUUCUUAAUUUAUCUAUUUUUUCUCAAUUUUCUUUUGUUUAUUUUCAUUUGGUUUUCUUCCAAAAAAGAAAAUAGUUUGAGAUAUUUCUAAAGAACAAAAAUCACUGUAUAUAUUUUGGGUAUAUUCUUGUUGUGUCAGUAUAUUUGUCUUUUUAUAUUAUGCCUAUCCCAUUUGUGUUGCCAAUUAUUCUAUGUUUGUCAUAUAUACCAGGGUCGGACCUAUCAACAUUUUUUCGUUUCGCUGCCCGUUAAAUUUGAGGUAGAUUAAGUAUUAUUAUAUUUAAAAAAAUACACAAAAAUUGAUAAAAGACUCAGAAAAGAACGCUCACUAAAUCAAGAAAAUAGACGGAUACUUUAAUUUUUAAGCAAAACCUCAAAGAUUUGGAUGGAUAUCAAUAUAUGUGUUCGAACCUCUCGAGCACCCACCACCACUAAAUCCUAGAACCGCCACUCAGGGGAGGACCCACGUACAUUUUUCGAGUGCUCAAGCACCCACUAAACUCGACGUAGAAGAGGUAUAAUUAUAUAAGAAAUAGUAAAAAAAAAUGAUAAAAUAUAUAAAAAAGCACCCAGAGAACAAAAGCAUGGCUGGAUGCUCUGCCUUUAGGCUUAACUUUCAUAUCUCUCAUCCUGGAAUCGAAUCCCUGCAUCUGCUGGACCCUUUAAUAAUUUUUUUUUAAAGCACUCACAGCCUAAAAUUGUUGGGACCGCCACUGCCACUAUAUCAUAGAGAUGAUAAUUCAACUCAUUUUGUUCCGACUCAACAGAUUUACGAUUAAUUACAUAAACAUCCUUUUACAAAUUUAUCCUAAUCAUAAGUAGUUUUAUGCUAAAUCCUCAAUUUAAUUCAAAGAUUGUUAUGUUACGAUUAUAAUUAGUAUAAAUAGAAACUUGUUAAUUAAUAUCACUUUUAAACAUAUUUUACCACAAAUAAUUCUCUAACGAAAGAAAACUAUGUAAAUGACUUCAUAUUAUUUGGCUUAGUGAAUUCAAGUAGGUCGAUUUUCUAAAAUUAUUUGACAUAGGAAUAUUCUAUAAUAAUUUUUCAAAUUUUCCAGGUUUUGGAGUUGGGAAUUUUGGUUCAUUCUGUGAUUAUUGGCAUUUCCCUUGGAACUACAGAAAAUCCAAAAACAAUCAAACCUUUAAUAAUUGCUUUGAGUUUUCAUCAAUUUUUUGAAGGCAUGGGACUUGGUGGCUGCAUCUCCCAGGUAAAAUUAGUAAAUUCUUUCUCUAAUUUCUUAUUAACAAACGUGACUACAUUUUCUUUAUUGUAUAGCAUUUGUGAUACAGUUAAACCUUUUUAUGACGCCAUUUGUCCAAAUCUUGGUGAAAAGUUGUUAGAAAGAACAUAUAAUAUAAUAUAACAUGAAAAAUCGAUUUCAAAAGAAAACUCAGAUAUGUUGUUAUAGAGAGAUCUAACAGUCAGGAGCGGAGCAAGCCCUUUGAUAGGAGGUUCGUCUGAACCCUCUUUGAUGAAAAAAUAUAUCAUUUUUACACAUGAUUAAAAUUAAUUUUUAUAUAUCUAUAGUAGGUGUUGAAAUAUUUGAACCCUCUUAGCUGAAAUUCUGGCUCCGCCUCUGCUGACAGUACAUGACAUAUGUGGAUGUGCAGGCAAAGUACAAGGCUAAAACAAUCACAAUUAUGGUGCUGUUCUUCACUCUUACAACUCCAACUGGAAUAGCUAUUGGAAUGAUGAUAACAAAAGGUUACAAUGAUCAAAGCUCAGCAGCAUUGAUUGUGCAAGGAGUUCUUAAUUCAGCAUCAGCUGGGAUUCUAAUUUACAUGGCACUUGUAGAUCUUCUUGCAACUGAUUUUAUGGACCCCAAAUUACACACAAGUUUCAAACUACAAGUGAUUGUCAAUGUAUCACUUGUCUUGGGAGCUUGUUGUAUGUCAUUAUUGGCAAAAUGGGGUGGGACAUAAUUUCAUAUACAACUAUAUUCCUAGCUAAAAUAUGUUAGUAUGGAGUACUAGUUUUUAGUUUCGCAAGAUUUUGACCAGAUAUUAUUUUAUUAGUAUAUCAACUUAUGUCAUCCCUUUGUGGUAUGAUUCCAUGAUUGUAAAAUAUUGAUCUUUUUGCACUUUUGCAUCUGUCAACUGUUAACAUGCAAUAAAGGACUGCACCAAAAAUCAAGUUGCUCUACUGUUAACUAUGUGCAAAAGAAUAAAUAAAUUAAAAGUAUAAUAUGGUUCGGUAGUCAAUUCCAACAUAAUUACAAGAAUGUCCCUAUAAAACCAUAUAGAGUGAAUUAGCCUAGUCCGUGAUACCCACAAAUAAGACUGAAAUUAUCGCGGAAGGUUGUGGUGGGAUCGAUAAAAUUCUUUCAUAUUAAUCAAUCGAGAGAUCUCGAAUUCUACCCCUAAAUACGUAAGUCAUGAUAGAGAACACUUCCUCCUCUAAAGCUUCUCAUUGAGAAGGACUUGAUUCGAACCCAAAAUUUCUGAUUUAGGUAAGACAGAGAGAGAAUAAGGACAACUUAUUUGGUCCUUCAACUAGUUUGUGGAAAGUGCAAAAGGGACAAACAUAGUUACAGUUCACUAGAACUAUGGAAAUGUAAAGCAACUUUACUUUACAGUCAAAAAAAUGAUAAAUAGGGAAAAAGGGUAUCCAGUGCUAGUGUUUACAUUUUUUGUGUGUGUGUGUGUCAAAUCUUCUACAACGAAAGAAUACAACAGACAACUGAAUAAAAUCCAAAUGUUAAAGAUAUUUACUUACUAAAGUAAUAGCAAUGGCGAUUGAGAAAAGAAUAUUUUAUUUGGCAUAUUUUAAGACACUACAUAAAAGUGUUACAAGCUGUAAUUUAAUUUCUCUAUCAGACAAAAGAAUACAGUUUAUCUAGUUCAGCAAGUGAACUCUUUAAACUAAAGAAGUAACAAUCACUUGAGAUAAAUUAAGUGGACUUAUUGUAAACAGAGGUAGGGCCAGAAUUCAGAGUUUAUGAGUACUGAAUUCGUCACCGAACCCGUAGCUCAUUCUUAAUUACUGGGUUCUCAAUUAAGUACAUUUAUACACAUUUAACGAAUUUUCCUAGUACACAUACCGUCUCUCUUCUUUCAUUUUUUUUACUAUAAUACUUGCUCUUCAGAAAGCAUAGCAGUAAUGCUUUAGCUGAGCACUGAAGAAUACAAAGAGUGGUCAAAAUUGAUUGUGCAACUUAAAUGUUGCUCUUCAUGAAUCCCAUUCAUCAAACCACAAAUCUAUCAAACAAACAAUUCACUUAGCAUAGCUACAUGACUAGUUAAAUCAAUAAUAGAGAAGAGCCAAAAGGCUUUAAUGAAAGGAGAUACCUAAGAGUAUAAAGCUGCUCAUUCUGUAAUGUUAAAGCAGAGCUUAGCCUCAUCCCAGGGGCCAUUAAUCUCAAACUUGUACUCUUGAAUCCUUAUCAGCCAGUAAGGACAAACCAAAUUAACAAAGACAAAGAUGCCCAAAAGCAAAAUGAAAAGCAGCUUAUGCAACCGGUAAGUGAAGAUUAGUGUCAGAACCAGUAACUGAAGGGAAAAGCAAAUAUGCAGCUUGAAAGAACGCUUCUUGACGCAAUAUGUAACUAAAGGAGCAAAGAGGAAAACCUGCAAGGAGAAUAGCACGAUAGCAAAGACAUGAAGCCGUGAUGGAAGUCGAGAAGAAAUCAGAAGUGAAGCUACGAUCGAAGCAUUCAGAGAGAUAUUGCUUGUCAGGGUUGGAUUAUCUAAAGCUCCAGGAGCCUUUACAGUGGACCCUGAGUAAUUGUGCAGGAAGAGAUGGAGUAUGAGAAGGGAAGCUGUUAGAGCCCAUAUAGAAUUUGAGCUUAUGGACCUAGUAAGUGUGUGGUAGAUAGGAGACAACAUGUAUAAGGCAGUUAUGAAGAAGGAAUUCUGUAGGAGAUAAUUGAGAAGGAGAUUGAAGGGUAUCAUGUCCGCAGUUAAGAGCAGAAUAAAGAAACCUGAUCCAAGUAGGCUAACAUUCAAUAGCAGAAGAUAUUUUUCCGUGAGGAUAUUUGUGAGUGUGUAGGUCCAAACCAAAACCACAAGGGCAACAAUGCAAAGAUAUUGUGAGAUAGAAACUGCGUCAAGCACCACCUUCAAUAAAUCUCUUUUGACAACAUUAGCAUUCAUGAUCAUUUCCUCCAGGAAGGAUUCAUCUGUGUGAUUGUCACCAAAGCCAGGUUGCAUCCCACCAUAAACAACUUUUCUCCACUUAGGGUGUGUUGGAGAAGAGGUACCGCUGAUGCUAGUUUCCAUUUGUCUCAUACAACUCUACUCCACGACAUCUGCGAGCAAUUAAAUGAAAGUCAUCACUAAUCAUUCUUAUAAUUCAUAAGACAAGUUCGAAAUGAAAAGGGGAAAACACAACAGAUAAUGCAAACUUGCUAAGAUCUAGAGCCAUGAAAUAUUUAAUCAAUAUUCACCAAUUGUAUUACGUUAGGGAUAAAGAACAUAACAAUUUAAGUAACUGGAUACCGUUGUUUAUUUAGUAAUUUUCAAGCUGAAUAAACACAAUGCAGACACUAAAUUUCACAUUGCAUUUAAAAUACAGAAAGAAGAUUCUAGCAACAAAAACUCUUUAUUUUGCAAUAUUUAUCUUUACAGGAUAAUUGAAUAAUACAAUCUAUGCCAUCCUGUUCCAUUAUGCAUCACUUAACCCCUCUUAAUUAGUAAAGCGUAUUCAUGAUAUCUUCAGCUUUUGGACUAGAGUAAAGCCUUUUAAGUCUCCCUCAAAGUGUAUCAUAUGACUGCCUUAUACUUAAAUGAGUUUUUUUUCCUUUUUUUUUAAUCAAUUCAUUUUUUUUGAAGUAAUUGUUAUAUUGACUGGCAUCAAGAAGAUGCUGAAAACAGUACAAAGAAAAUUAGGGAGAGCUCCUAGAUACAAAAACCUACAGAUAUAACUUGAGCCAUUUCCCUGAAUGUGCAAAAAGAAUGGCUGAUAAGCCAAAGACAAGGAACUAAUAAAAUCUACAAGAGGAAUAACAUUGUUUGCAGGGGUUAAAUUGCUCCAGCUGAAAAGAAACAUCGAACACUAAAACUUCAGAGAAAAGUUAGGAGUUGAAAUCCCAUCAAAACAUCUACAAUUUCUUUCCAUCCAGCUACUCCAAAAAAUGCAUGCUGGUCAUUUGCCAUAUCUUCUUGAUGGUUCUGUCAACCACCCAAUGGUUCCAGCUUUCCAUAGUUUCCUUCACAUUCCGCGGCACUACCCAACUUACCCCAGAAAUUGAUAAGAACAUGUUCCACAAAUCAGAUGCAACUGAGCAAUGCAAAAGUAAAUGGUUGACUGUUUCUGAGCUAUGUUGGCACAUAAAACACCUGUUUGCUAGUUGAAACUUUCUUCUGCAAUGGUUGUCUUGAGUUAGGAUUGCCUCCCUGAUGGCUGUCCAUGUAAAGCACAUGAUUUUAUUGGCGAUUUUAGUUCUCCAAAUCAGCUUCUAAGGCCAGUGUUCAGUCACUUCAUUUUACGCACACAAUUUACUAUAACCUGUAUUGACUGAGUAAGACCCCUUACUUGAAUUACCCCAUCGUAGCUUGUCACUAGCCCGGGAAUUUAUUGUGCAGUCUUCUAAAAUUCUGUAAAGAUCAAAGAUCUCCUCUAGUUCUCAAUCUUGCGAAUUUCUUCUAAGGAGGAGGCGCCUGCUCUAUUUUGUGCUACUGUGGAGUCAGGGUUCACAGCUAGUCGAUAGAGGUUUGGAUGAGAGAUCUCCAAGGGUUGGUCGAGAAGCCAUGUGUCAUUCCAGAAACUCACUAAAUUUCCAUUUCCAACUGAAAACGAGACAUCAAGGAAGAAAUCAUCUCUAAGCUUGCUUAUGUGUUUCCAAGGUCCAACACCAUGGGGAGCUGUACCUGUGCUGGUGCUCCUGUGAUUUUGUUUCCCAUACUUGGCAGUCACCACCCUUUUCCAAAGACUAGCAGUUUCUUGACCAUAUCUCCACCACCAUCUCAUAAGCAAGCUACUAUUGUGUUUCGAUAAGUCUUUGAUUCCCAAACCCCCCAAGUUUUUUGGUUUGAUAACCUGUGACCAGUCCACCAAAUGAAAUUUAUGACCUUCACUAUUGCCUUUCCAUAGGAACGUUCUCCUUACUUUAUCAAGAUGCUUCAGGACCUUAGAUGGUAUAGGAAAGAGGGACAUGAUGUAGGUAGGUAUACUAUCAAAUGGGCUAAGAUAUCACCAUUUAACCUCAAAAUGAUCCCCUCUAACUCCACGACUUGAUGAGCCCCUCUAGCCAAUGCCAAUGCCCCCCUACCAGGCCACCAACAUAGCCCUAAUACCCAGCUUUUUUAGCUGCCUGCCAAAAGCAUAUGCCAACCCACCUUUUUUUCAAGUUCGAAAUUUGAAAUAGAGCAAAAUUGUCUAUCAUUCAAGAAAACUAACUAGAUGGUAUCAUAAUAUUUCCACUUGAUGAUAACGUUUGAAUAAUUAUCACUAUAUUUUAGAAAUAUGCAGUGGUGGUGAUACUGAAAACCAGUAAACCGUAGUAAUAUCCUACACUAAUAUAGAUUGUACCGUCUACAACUGCUAUUAGUAAGGAAAUCACAAGCAGAAAGAAACAACUGUAUAAGCUCAAAUUACUACAAAUGCUCAACACAGGAGAUAAAGAGAACUCACAGAUCCCUUUAAAUUUUUAUUCAAUGUCUAUCUUGAGAGAGUAUUGGAACAAUACGGGCCAAAAUAGAGAAUGAGAUCAAUAACGAUGAUUCAUAUAGUUGCCCCUAGGGCUUUGGUCUAGUGUUAAGAGCACAACACGAUGUGUGAGUUAAGAAACAACAUUAUCAACCAAAAAAUAGGGCAGACAAAUCAACAACAACAAACCCAGUAUAUUCCCUCAAAGUGGGUUCUGGGGAGGGUAAAGUGUACAAAGUCCAUACCACUACCUCAGAGGUGAAGUAGAAAGGGUAGACAAAUCACAAAAAUAGAAAAUAAGACAAACUCCGCUGUUACUAGCCCUGUGAACUAAUCAUCAGAAGAAAGUUGAAAAAAUCAGGAUGAUGAGAAUAUUUUAGGGUGAAAGUUGAAUAUAUGACAUUUACGGAGUUACCAUAUUGUAUUGAUUUUGAGGUUAAUUUUUUCUAUGCCAAAGAAAAUACUUCUGGAGAGUAAAAUUGAUCUACAACAGUGUUCUGAAAAAAUUUGGCCAUGGUGGUUUUGGUUUUGGGGAGAGAAAUGACGAGGGGGCGACCCUACUGGAGUUUGCGAGGGCCUUUGGGCUGGUGGUGGUGAACUCGGGCUUCCCGAAGAAGGACGAGAACCUGAUCACCUUUCGAAGCGCGGUAGCCAGGACUCAGAUUGACUUUUUCUUGCUUAGGAAAGGGGAUAGGGCGUUGUGUAAGGACUGUAAAGUCAUCCCGAGUGAGAAUCUUUCGACCCAGCAUAGGCUCUUGGUUAUGGAUUUGGGUAUAAAGAAGAAUAGAAAGAGGAGGACUAAGGAGUGUAGACCGAGAAUUAAGUGGGGCAGCCUGACGACAGUGAAUGCGUGGGAGAUAGGGGAGAGGUUGGCGGGAAUGGGGGUGUGGGAGUGUAGGGGGGACGUGGAUAGUAUGUGGGACAGGGGGCAAGGUGCAUCAGGGAGAAUGCAAGUGAGGUGUUGGGUGUUUCUAGGGGCCGGGCCGGACAUCAUCGGGGGGAUUGGUGGUGGAAUGAAGAGGUGGGGAAGAAAGUGGAGACCAAGAAAGAGUCGUAUGCUAAGUUGGUGGAAAGUAAGGACGAAGAGGAGAAGCGGGUAAACAGGAAAGAGUACAAGCUAGCAAGGAAGGAGGCGAAGUCAGCGGUCACGGCAGCUAAGACGGCUGCUUUUGAGAGCUUGUAUGCAGGGUUACAGGGGAAAGGAGGGGAGAAAAAGUUGUUCCGACUCGCUAAGGCUAGGGAGAGGAAGGGUCGUGACCUCGAUCAGGUGCGGUGCAUUAAGGGGGAGGACGGUAGAGUGUUGGUGGAGGACGGCCACAUAAAGAAGAGAUGGCAGUCGUACUUUCAUAGGCUCUUGAAUGACGAGGGGGACAGAGCUAUUGUGUUAGGGGAACUGGAGCACUCAGGGGAGUGUCGGGAUUUUAGCUAUUGUAGACGUUUUAAGGUAGACGAGGUUAGACAGGCAGUCCGCAGGAUGCGAAGGGGUAGGGCGACGGGGCCGGAUGAGAUACCGGUGGAGUUUUGGAAGUUCGUUGGAGAGGCUGGUGUAAGGUGGUUGACUGCAUUGUUCAAUGAAAUUUUCAGGACAGCAAAGAUGCCCGAGGCGUGGAGGUGGAGUACCAUGAUCCCCCUCUAUAAGAAUAAGGGGGACAUUCAGUGUUGCAAUAACUAUAGGGGGAUUAAGUUACUGAGUCACUCUAUGAAGAUCUGGGAGAGAGUGGUCGAGGUGAGGCUGAGACGGAUAGUGUCUAUCUCGGAAAAUCAGUUCGGAUUUAUGCCCGGCCGCUCGACGACGGAGGCAAUUCACCUGGUACGGCGGUUGGUGGAGCAAUAUAGGGAAAGGAAGAAGGAUUUGCACAUGGUGUUCAUCGACCUAGAAAAGGCGUACGACAAAGUCCCCAGGGAGGUGCUUUGGAGAUGCUUGGAGGUGAGUGGAGUACCGCAGGCAUAUAGCAGAGUAAUUAAGGAUAUGUAUGAGGGAGCGAAAACCCAGGUGAGGACGGCGGGAGGAGACUCAGAGCAUUUCACUGUCCUGACAGGAUUGCAUCAGGGAUCUACUCUUAGUCCCUUUUUGUUUGCGCUAGUAAUGGAUGUGUUAACGCGGCGUAUCCAAGGGGAGGUGCCGUGGUGUAUGCUUUUUGCAGACGAUGUAGUCCUGAUAGAUGAGACGCGAGGGGGUGUGAACGACAAAUUAGAGCUGUGGAGGCAAACUCUGGAGUCUAAAGGGUUCAGGGUGAGCAGAACCAAGACAGAGUAUGUGGAAUGUAAGUUUAAUGACGUAAGGCGAGAGAAUGAGGUAGUGGUGAGGCUAGAAGCGCAGGAGGUAAAGAAAAGGGAUAAGUUCAAGUACCUCGGGUCCGUGAUCCAGAGUAACGGUGAGAUUGACGAGGAUGUCUCGCACCGUAUCGGGGCGGGAUGGAUGAAGUGGAAACUUGCAUCGGGGGUGCUGUGUGAUAAGAAGGUGCCGCCCAAGCUUAAAGGUAAAUUCUAUAGGGUGGUAGUCCGUCCGGCCUUGCUGUAUGGAGCGGAGUGUUGGCCAGUUAAGAACUCCCACACCCAAAGAAUGAAGGUGGCAGAAAUGCGGAUGUUGCGCUGGAUGUGUGGAUUGACUCGAGGGGAUAGAGUUCGGAAUGAGACUAUCCGGGAGAAGGUUGGUGUGACUUCAGUGGAGUGUAAGAUGCGGGAAGCACGAUUGAGAUGGUUCGGACACGUGAAGAGGAGGGGCAUGGAUGCCCCGGUCCGUAGGUGUGAGAGGCUAGCGUUGGAUGGUUUUAGGCGGGGUAGGGGUAGGCCGAAGAAGUACUGGGGCGAGGUGAUCAGGCGGGACAUGGAACAGUUACAGCUCACCAAGGACAUGACCCUAGAUAGGAAGGUCUGGAGGGCGCGAAUUUCAGCAGAGAAUUAGGGCCAGUUUGGGUCGCUAGUGUAGGAAAUUACUUGGUGGGGGUUUUAUUCCUGUUAUGAUUCCAUGUUCCGUGUUCCAUGUUUUAUUACGAAUCUGUGUGCUUUCCUCUGCUUUCCUCUGUUUUAUAUUACUUAUGGGUGCCGUAUUUAUGUUAUGUAAUCUGCUUCUGUGCUUUACUAUGUGUUUGUGUGGUAUCUCGUGUCUUGAGCCGGGGGGCUAUUAGAAACAGCCUUUCUACUUCAUCAGAGGUAGAGGUAUGGACUGCGUACAUCUUACCCCCCAGACCCCACUAGGUGGGAAUACACUGGGUUUGUUGUUGUUGUUGUUGUAGUGAUCUGUUCACAGAUAAUUUUCAACAAAUUCCACUUGCCUCUAUAGCUUCUACCUUAAUCAAUAAUCAUGUGUUUUCCUUAGUGUCUAUCAGAUUUGUAUUCUUGGUCGAGAUUUAAAUAAUAGUCAUUGAUAUCCAUCACAAUCGUUUUUUGAUGCAUGAUCUUAUCCAUAUUAUAUUAGAGAACUAAGAAACUGUUGAUUAACAACAUGACAACUAAAAUGUUAAGCAAAUCAAUCAAAUAAAUUUCCAGUGUACUGUUUAAAGCAAAUAAGCUCAAAAAUGUAGAUGGAAAAGACAUCAAUUCGGUCAUCUGACGGUGAGAGUAUAAUGCAGCAUGCAUAUGUGUAGGAUAGGAAUACUUUACCUUCUAAAUAAAAGGCCAUAUGUGUGAUAGAAAAGAAUCUUGACAAUGGAAACAAGGAAAAAGAUUGUGAAAGAAACGUUACUUUGUCAAAAAAAAAAAAAAAGAUUCUGAAAGAACUAUAGGCCAUGACAGAUGUAAAACCAUUUAAGACUCAAGGGAACCCUGCGACCAAAUGGCCUGAUAUGUAUGCCCCAAAACAUUCAAUUUACUGAAGAGAUUUCAGAUACAAUUUUGGCACGAGAGGAAACCAAAACACUGUAUGGUUUCAGAAGAUUAAGCUCAUAUCCAGUAACAUUAGCAAACUUAACUAAAUAACUAGAUUUGAAGAAUAGCGAACAACCAGGACUAUCAUUUAGCCCUGGUAGCUAUUACGCAAAUUCAGAAAUUGCGAAUUCUACUGAUGGCAUCUGGAACAUGUUCAACCAAUUCACAUGAACUUAAGGAAGAAUUUCCAUACGAGAAAGCCGCUUUAAAAGAAAUAAUUGAGGAAACAAGAAACGAUGUCCCUACGGUGAUAGAUUCCAGUUGAAAAGAGAGUUGCCAAAAUCUCAUAUAAAGAAAGAAACCCUGACGACUCUGUUUUCCAUAAAGUUUCAAGCGACUCCAACCAAGAAAAUUAAGAAGUUUGACACUUGUGGAGAUAUAGCAUGAAAAAACCCUUAGGAAUCUGUUUUCCAUAAAGUUUCAAGAGACUCCAACCAAGAAAUUCAGAAGUUUGACACUUGUGGAGAUAUAGCAUGUAACAUUAGACUCUUCUUUCUUUUUAUUAAACUAAAUAGUUUCAUGAAACAUUAGACCGUAAAACUGACGCCCAGUGAUGAUAAUACAAAUUUACUGCAGUAAAAGCCACACAAAUAUGAAAUAUGUCUACAGAUGGUUGUCAACCACAUCAUCCCGUGAACAAAAAGAUAGUUAAUUGGCACUUCUAACCUUCCUCAAAACGUAAUAACAACACUUGACUUCACAAGACAAAGGAACGUCUUCUCUAGUUGUUGCACUUGCUGCUUUUAUGUCCAUUAUUUCACAUAUACCUUGCAAGCGACAAGUUUUCUCCCUUUUUAUACCUCGCAUUUGAACUAUGGGUACUUUAUUUUUCAACAUCUUCUAGGAUGAUUCCCCAAGGCGGAUCUAGAGAUAAAGAUACGGAUUUAUCCAAACCCAGUAGAUUUGGCUCGAACCUAGUGUAUAUGUUAAAAAAAAUCUCUAAAUAAGUAAAGAUAAUUGACUAUAAAGUAUAAACCCAGUAAAUCAAAUGAACUAUGAUACAAUCGCGAACUGUAAACAACAAAAUUCAAAUUAUGAAUCCACUUCUAUUGUUUACUUGCCUUAUGGUCUAAAUAUAUCACAAAAUAUAGUUUAACAUCGCAUAACUUUUAUGAGCAUACACUUAGUUCAUAUGUCAGAUAUCUAAACCUUGUCCGUAUAUUAUCUUCCCGACAUUGAAGUACAUGAAAGUACAACAAAUGACUUUGAUCAAAUAGUAAAUAUAACACGCGGGCCCUGUGAGUCAAAUAUUGCAACGAUGUUUCACUCGAUUUUGUACCAUAUGUAGUUCAAUUUCACUGUUUUUACUUAACAUAAGACCAACGGAGCAACUGUGUGUUGCAUUCUCGUCAGUUGGCUCAGCAUAAGAAAAAUCAUUUGAAGCUCCGAGCAAUGAUAACGGAUAGAAAUGCUUAGUCUGUCUAUCCGUUAACAUUCAGCGUAUGCAGAAUUUGAAUUUGACUGAUUCAACCUUUAAAGUUCUUAUUUCCAUAACACUGAACUUUUUGGACUUUUGAUGUUAUAGAUUGGGUUCAAAACCUAAUAUUUGUAAUAUUGUAGUGAUUUUUCACAUAUUGAUACUCUAUGUGUAAUUACUGAUUGGGUUGAAUCCAUAGCUGGUAAGCUACAUCAGCUUCAUGGAAUCAUCCAGUAUAUGAAGACAAAUCUGCUAAAUCCAUAAAUCAUAAUCCCUUAAAUUCCAGAAUAUUUUGAAUAAUGCACUCAAAAUAUAUACCACAACCCCUUUAAAUCUACCAAUACUUAUAAACCCAACAACUUUAACUAAUUUAAUCACAUCCGGAUCAAAAAAAAAAAAAAUCACCAACAAAUUCUACAAGACAUAAUUAAAAAAGCAAGCAUUUUGUUUGGAACAAAAACAAAAACAUAAAAGCAAUAGAUGAAAAAAGUGAAAUUACCAUAGCAAGUAAACCUGAGAUUGGAUGAAAGCGCAGAAAAUACCUUUGAAUUGCUUCAAUUUUUUGCUUGUUUCACGUUGCGGCAAUUUUUUCUCGUAAAGAAGAAUAUGAAAAUAAUUUGUCACCUCUCUCCUCUCUUUUUCUUNNNNNNNNNNNNNNNNNNNNNNNNNNNNNNNNNNNNNNNNNNNNNNNNNNNNNNNNNNNNNNNNNNNNNNNNNNNNNNGGGGGGUGUAAGGGGCUGAAAAUUUUAAUUAUUACUUGCGAGUGUAAUUUCAAAAAUAAUAAUGGAGAGUAAAAUGUAUGUGAGAUCUUACCUCUGUCUAUGAUCAACUACCAGAGCGUCAAUAUGGGUCAGCCCGGUCUGAUCCUUAUUGAUGGAGUGGGCUUCAAUUUUUACAGUUCCUUUAAAAAUAGGAUUUUUUUGACCCAUUCAGAUAAGCUCAUGGGUCAUAGGACUUGAGAAAUGUAGGUUGAGCUAGCUCGUGGACUGAUCCAUCAGUCAAAUAAUAAAUAAUUUUAAAAUAAAAUACUAAAAAAUAAUAAAAGAGUUAAAAAACAAUCAAGUUCAAUGAUGAUCAUUGACCGGUUCCAUUAAAAAAAAAAUGAAAACUGAAAAGUUUCCUACUUUUCUAUCUAAUAAAUAAUUAAAUAUCUACCACUAAAACAUAAAGAGUACAUUGUACUCUUUACUUUCCUAAUUUCUUUAGUUCUACUAGCCGUUACUCCCUCGACGUGUCAUCGGCUUUCAACCAUGAUGUUUUCGAUUGAGUAGUGCCACCUCUUCAUUUUCUUCCUACUUUAGGUGAUUCAAGUUCUGGCUCCCUUUUGAUUAACAGACAUUAAUACUAUGUGUUAUUAUGUGAUAAAUAUUUAUGUUUAUUAACAGUGUAAAAUUAAAUUAUAAAAUAUUAUUUUUUAAAAAGAGGGCUGGCCCGUGAGGCCCGUAGCCCACAGGGUAAUAGCGUGGACUUGGUGGUUUUUGACCCGUCAUUUAAAUGGGUCAGUUCGGCCUGAUCCGUCAAACUCAAAGCCCGUAUGGUUAGCUCCGAAGAGUUGAACCAACCCGUAUUGUCAGCUCUAUCAAAUACUAAAGGUCAAACUAAUCAACAACCCCUGAACUUGACAUCAUCUUUCACUUUGACAUCUCAAGUGGAUAAUGUUCAUUUUAGACACCUCAACCAGCUAUUAACUAUGCUAUUUUGACACUUUUUUUACAGUCAGCUAAAAUUAUAAAGAGUGUAAUACACAUGCUGCUAACAUGACAUACAACCAAUUAAAAAAUAACACAUGACACUUUUUGUAUAAAAUAAUAAUUUUAAAUAAAUUAUAAUUAAAAAAUCUAUUUUUAACUAAUUAACUUAAAAAAAAUAAUAAAUAAAUACCCCCNNNNNNNNNNNNNNNNNNNNNNNNNNNNNNNNNNNNNNNNNNNNNNNNNNNNNNNNNNNNNNNNNNNNNNNNNNNNNNNNNNNNNNNNNNNNNCCACACACACAAAAUCACCCUUUUCCAAACACCCAGCGCGCUAUCCCCGAUUAUCUUCUCCAAAACACCCUUGCAACCCCACUCCCACCUUCAAAUCUUUUUCUUCAAAACACACAUCAAUAACGGUUGAAUUUAACAAAUUUAUUCUCACCAAUUUAAUUUAAUUUUAUCAAUUUUUAAGUUGAUAAAUGGAAGCAAUUUUUAAAAUAGGUAAAAAAAAGAAGUUGAUAAAUGGAAAUGGUGUAAAUGGCGAUUCUUAUGGAGAUGCCAUUUUAAAUGGGCAAAAAAAGAAGUUGAUAAAUUUUAAAUGGAGAAAAUGAUAAAUUUUCUAAAUGGGCAAAAAGAGAAGUUGAUAAAUGGCGGUUCUUUUAGCUGAUUGUAAUUUUAUUUAAAAAAAAAUUCUAAUAAAAAAAGAAGUUGAUAAAUGGGCAAAAUUGAUGUUUAAGAAAUAAAGGAAAGAGUAUAAAAAAAUGAAAGCAAUUAAAUAUUAUUAUUAUAACCAAGUUGGACGUCAUAUCGGAUAAAAAACAGUAAUCACGCGCCUAAAUGAGUGAAAAACACGCGAGCUGACACCUAUACAAAAAGUGUCAAAAUGACAUACUCGUAUACUGGUUGAGGUGUCAAAAAUGAACAACAUUCACUCGAGGUGCUAAAGUGAAAUAUUAUGUCAAGUUUAGGGGGCUGUCGAUGGGUUUGACCAAUACUAAAAUGACUAUAUUUGCAUCAUUUUUCUUUAUAAUUUUUUUGUGAUAGUCUUUGUUUGAGAUAACUAUUUAGUAAAUAAUAUCUACAUUGUUAAUAUUUAGAAUCUAAAUUUAAAUUUAAAUUUUUAUAAAAUAAUAUUUAUUUAAAAAGUGAGUUGACCCGUUGAGGCCGACUGGCGUGUUGGACUUGCUAUUUCAUGUAAUGGGCCAGUAUGAUCCGACCUGUCAAAUUCAAAGCCCGAUUGAAAUUUCACUAUAGUUAAUGCUUUCAUUUUCGUAUUUAUUUUUUCAAACUACUUGUAGAUGCGUUACUUGAGCCAAAGAUAGAUCGACGACAACUUUUUUAUCUCUCUUCAAACAACACUUAUGGAAUUCAUCUGAUACACUUCAGUAUUUGGUGCAAGUGCAUUCAAUCGAGUCCCGAGUAUGGAUGCAUCACAGGUGAAACAUAUUUUUUCUUUAGAUAAAUUUUAUGCGUUACAAAUUCAAUUCAAUCGAGCUUUAAUACAGGUACAAACUAAAGGAUUAAAAAAAAAAAUGCAUUCAAUUGCUUGUUUUUUCAUUAUUCUAAUCUAAUUUUCUAAAGAAAAUGUAUAAGCUAAUUUUUUUUUUUUUUUUUAAAAAUAUAUAUAUAAGUAGCCAGCUCUAUUAGGAAUUGGCUCCCUCCCUUUUUCUCCUGAAACCCUAACUCUCCAAAAGAGAGAGACAGAAAAAAACCCGUGUUCAAUCCCCAAAUCGAUUUCGGAACCCUAGCGGAUCGAUUUCGGAACCCUAGCAUUAAUUUCUUCCGAUUUGGUUGAUUUGGUAGGGAGAAAUGGGGAAGAAGAAGAAGAGAUCGUCGUCGGAUAAAGUAUGGUGCUAUUACUGUGACAGGGAGUUCGAUGAUGAGAAGAUUUUGGUUCAACAUCAAAAGGCUAAACACUUCAAAUGCCAUGUGUGUCAUAAGAAGCUUUCUACUGCUGGUGGUAUGGCCAUUCAUGUUCUUCAGGUUCACAAAGAAACCGUCAGCAAGUGCGUUUUUUCUCAUAAUUUUCUAGCUACAUUUUUAACGUUGAUGUAUUUCUUGUGAUUUAACAGUCUUUUGUUGGUGUUUUUGUGGAAUAUCUUUGUUCAAUAGGGUACAUUUUUGACAAUAGAAGGUGUUAGAGGCUGGAAUUAUUCGUUAGGUGUCUGAAUAAAAAGAAAUUGGCUAAUUAAGAGGCCGUCUUUGGGUUCUCUUGUUAUGAUAUCCCUUGAUCCAUAAAUGUCACUGGGGUUACUUGUUAAUAAGAUAAUAUUUUUUCGCCAGAAAAAGCAUCAUCUAAAGUAGGUGAGGUUUUUGGUUUGUAAUGUAGGGCAACAUCUCUCCGAAACUAUACAGAUAUAAUAUGCACAUGCUUGGAAUAUUUUCAUUUUUAUAGAAUUUGCCUAAUGGGAAGCUGCAGAAAGUGGUCAUUUGUUCUGUCUCAGAAGUUAAAUGUCAUGAUAGAAGAGUGUUCUGUAACCUGUUGAUGCAACUAAAAGAAUUGUGAAUUAUACUAAUUUGGGUAGAACAAAACACGAUGGAGGCAAGCUAUGUGUAUAGGUACCACGUCUAAUUAUUGAGUUUUGCAAUAAAAUGGGUCCCAUGGAGCAGAAUAGAUGUUAGGGGUUCAUAUAGUGGACCUCAACUAUUUUUAGAUGGAGACCAUUAUCGUUGAUGUUUUAUAUGGGUGCUUCUGAAGUUCAAAACAAGUUUGACCUUGUUUAUUCGACCCAUUUAUGUCUGCAAAAUUCCUAAAGCUUCUUGCCUGCUCCAGUUUCCAAGGAAUUCUUUCAGGAUGGAAUCCAAUAUGCCGAUAAUGUUUCAUGCUACACUUUUUUGUAUUUUUUUGGCAAUAAAUGUAUUAAGCUAGCAUAUUUGGCUGCUACAGGGUACCGAAUGCCAAAGAAGGCAGAGAGUCAACAGAUAUUGAAGUAUAUGGAAUGCAAGGAAUCCCACCUGAUGUCUUAGCAGCGCACUAUGGAGAGGAAGGUAUGAGCAGUAUUGCGAUGUGCUUAAAUUUUGCCUGUUUGAAAGACGUGGAGGAGCCAAUACGGUUUGCUGAAUUGUAGCAAGAAGAGAAGUUACCUUUGCUUUUGUGUCUUUCUUGUUAUACCAUUGCACUGGUACUAUUGAAUUGCUAUUCUCGUGGCAAAUGUUUCCUCAACUUAGAGGGGGACCUAUUAUCUACCGAUUUUCGAACCAUGCGUCAACCCUCUUCACUGGCCCUUGGAGAUUUCUUGAUUUAUCAAAAAAGAAUAUUUCCUUAGCUUGGUUUUACCAACUUAAAUCAGGGUGUUGAAAUUUGAAAUAAUGUUUUAGAAGUUCAGGAGUGCUUGUAUCAUCCAUCCCACACAGAUGCCCUCAUACUCCCGUGGGGAAAUCUGAAGAUUGUAUCUUAAUAUCUCUCUGCUGGUGGGUUUAAAUCUCUGAUUCAUUAUUGCCUCCUGGGUAUCUCUACUUCCGUAGAACCCUGUAUCAUUCAUAAAUUGGAAGCUUGUUUUUAAGCUUUUGGAACCUUGCAUCUUGCUUAACUAAUAGCCGUUGAUGUCUGAAUUCUUUGCUUCCUGUCCAUUGAUUUUAGGUGUUUAAAACUUUUUGCCUUUUGUGUUAUGAGUUUUUAGUGCUUCUUUUUAUCUCGUAUAUGAGUUAACAUGAGUUUAUUGCCUUUUCAGCUUUCCGCAGAUCCUUUCCUCUAUUACUAAUAUGUCGUUUCUGGAUUCUUGCUUUUAUGAUUACAUAAAGCUAAAUUUUCCCUGUUGGAUUUUAUUUUCCUGUAGAUGAUGAGAUCCCAGCAAAAACUGCCAAAGUGGACAUUCCAUCAUCCCAGUAUCUUGGUGGUGCACUUCCAGGAUAUCCUCCUCGGCCAACUUUUGGCGCAGUACCACCACUGUAUGUUUCCCCUGGAAAUGUUUCUUAUUCUUAUAAGUUUUAUGUUUCCUCAUGCUUGAAUACUUUAUGAUACACUUUCAUUUUCAUAUGCUGUUGCAUGAGUUUGCUUAUUUUAAAAACCUUUCCUUUUGUGUGCUACAUGCUAAAUCUUUGGAUAUGGAUGAGUUUUUUCUAUUUGCCAUAGAGAUUUGGGAUCCAUGAGAAUGCAUGCCCGCAUAUAGGGGUGUGCAAAAAGCGAACCGACCGAUAAACCGAACCAAUAAAACUGUUAUUGGUUUAUUGUUAUUGGGUUAACGUUUUUUAAUGAUUUUAUAAAAAAAAUUGUUGGGUUAUUGGUUCGGUUCGUUUUUUCUCAAUUUCUCUUUAAUUUCUAUAAAUUAACAAACCUAUUAUUUCAAUUAUACAAACUCUUAAAUUCUCCUAACAACAUUUAGUUCAAACAUGAAGAUUCUUGUAAAUGAAAAGCAGGAUUUUAGUUUUAUAUAUAUAUAUAUAUCUUAAUUUCUCUUUAAUUUCUAUAAAUUAACAAACCUAUUAUUUCAAUUAUACGAACUCUUAAUUUCUCCUAACAACAUUUAGUUCAAACUUGAAGAUUCUUGUAAAUUAGAACACAUCAUGCAGGAUUUUUGGUUACAACUAAGAUUCAAAUUUUUUUAUGUUAGUUACUACUAUUUCUAUUUAUAAGUAUUUUCUUAUCGGUUAAACCGAAAACCGAACCGAUAAGGACUAAAAACCGAUAAACCGAUAAAAAAUAUGUUAUUGGUUUAGCAUAUUUAAAAACUGAAAACCAAUAAAUCAAACUGAUAAUAUAUAAAUCCGAACUGACCGAUGUACACCCCUACCCGCAUAAGAUCCGGGACAUGGUCUCUUCAUUGUGUGCUUGAAUUGUGGAGUCUGUUCAUUUUAUUUUUUCUACCAGGAUAUGUUCUCCUUGAAUAACUUUUGUUUAAGAUGAAAUCUGUCAUUCAGUUCAAUUUAUCACUAUUAUAUUCUCCUUGAAUAAGUAUCUGUGGUCAAGUCAGAAUAAAUGCAGAGAAGCGUAGUAUUUCUUGAAAAGAGGAAAACAUUUUCAAUUUUAACUAGUCAACGACACAAGCAAUGUAUACAGAAGAACAACACAUCUAAUUCUUUUAAGAAGGUAAAUUAAAGAAUCUUUUAAUAUGGAACCCGUCCUGAGCAAAUGGAUUAGCAAAAAACGAGAGGUGAGCUCUCUCUUUGAACUGAAGUUUAGUUCUUUCUAUAGUUGACUUCUGAUCUUUUUGAGGACUACAACUUGCUUUUGCUUAUCAUCCGGGGUGGGGGUGGGGGGGUUACAUCUUGCUUUAUUUCUCUAUUCUAGGACUACCUACUGUUUCUUCCCCAUGUUAGUAGUAGUAUUAUUUGGUCAACCAAGCAAAAUAAUGAAAAUAUGAGAAGGAUUCAAGCUCAUUAUUAUAGUAUGAUGCAAAUAUCUCAGUUCUGACUUUGUUAUUGUGAUGCUGUGGCAUACCUAAAUUUAGUCGAGAUUUGGCCUAUAAAGAAUUUAACUGCUAGUUUUCAGGUGUUCAGCAGUUUGGCUUCCAGUAUUGAGAUAUCUAGCAUUCUGGCUUAUAGUAAUACAGAAAAUUGUCUCCAUUGUUGAGGAAUAGGAGUAACAAUCUGGAGAUUCCAUGUUUGAAUUCUUGCUUCAACACUUAGUGUGAAUCCAUUUUAUUGAGUCUUUGAUGUUCAGGGCUACCGACUUACCGGUAUGACAGCAUCUAUGCUUGUGGACCGUAAUUAGCUACCGGGAGGAUUAGUCAAAGAGCAUGCAACUUGAAAUAGUUUACACAGUCAUUAAAAAAAAGAUAUUAGGGAAAUUAGCGUUUGCAUUUAUAUCUUUUCGUCAACUUUCUCUUCUACAUUUUGUUGUUUUGACAUGCUUUGAAUUCUUGGCUGCUUUAGAAUUUUAAUCAGCAACUUUAAUGGUAUAUAAAGUCUUACUUGGAUCUGUCCUGUUUGGUGUAGUUAUAAUCCUGCUCUGCCUAUGCCCCCAGCUGGUUGGCCAGUUCCACCUCGGCCUUGGUAUCCACAGUAUCCUCCUGGCUCGGUUCCACCUCCUGCUCCGAUGAGUCUGCCGCAACAACCGUUAUUUCCUGUGCAAAAUGUUAGGCCUCCAAUGCCAGCCACUGCUCCGCCAACACUUGUUGCUCCUCCAGGGAUCCCAGCCCCACCUGUUCCAGUGUCUCAACCGUUGUUUCCUGUUGUUCCUAAUAACAACAACCUUGCGCAAAGUUCGCCAUUCUCACCGCCGCCGAUGUCAAUGAGUGUGCCAUUGAGCUCUGCAGCUGAAGCAAAGAGCUUAUUUGACCCAAACAUGGGCAGCAAUGCUCCUACCGCCAUUGGCUAUCAGACUUCAGGUAUUCAAGGUCUUGAGUUGUAAUGUCUUUAUCUGUUUUGUUUAAGGCCCAACACUUUCAACAUGGUUCCUGUUGGGAAUUUACUUAUUACUACCAUUUCGUGUUGUGCCUUGAGAUGGGAUAAGCAGCUCUGUUCUGAUUCUUUAGUGAGAAGUAGUAUUCUUUGAUUGUUUUGGAAAGGAACAAGGCAUGCUUUGAGGGGUUGAGGCUGCUGGUACCUAGAGUUAAAAACAAAUGCACCAAGAACCUGUAUUUUUUGGUUUUAUCGUAGUACUCUUGAUAGGAUAGAUAAGUAUUUGGAUUUUUUGCACUUAUUAGGGGAAAAUAUGUACUCCCUCCAUCCCAUUUCAUGUGGCACCAUUUGACUUGACACGGUGUUUAAGAAAAAAAGGAAGACUUGAAACUUUUCUGGCAGAAAUGCAAGGUAAGACUGCGUACAAUGCACCCUUAUGGUGGGGCCCUUCCCCGGACCCUGUGCGUAGCGGGAGCUUUAGUGCAUCGGAUUGCCCUUUUUGGUCUAAAACAAUCAUUAGAUAUUUGUAUCGCUCUAAAUCAUUUCAUUAUAGGUAAAAGGGGAAUUUUAAAGUUAAAUUGUUUCUAAUUAUAGUAAGGUAACAUUCUUUUUGGAAAGCUAUUUGAUUCUUCAUUUCUCAUCCCAUUUACUCUUUCUGCAGCCCCAGUACCAGUAAAUUCACAUUCUUAUGCCUCUGGCCCAAAUACUGGUGGACCCUCAAUUGGUCCACCACCUGUUAUUACAAACAAAGCUCCAGCUAAUCAACUAGCAACGAAUGAGGUCUACUUAGUUUGGGAUGAUGAGGCCAUGUCCAUGGUCAGUAGUGUUUGCAUUUUCAUUUAAUUAAUAUCUAUCGGUUAAUUUGUGAUACUGAGUGUUGAUGUGAAAUAUUUGCAGGAGGAAAGAAGAAUGUCCUUGCCAAAGUAUCAGGUGCACGAUGAGACUAGCCAGGUAAGUUAUAAUUACCUAAUACUAGCAUUUGUUGCUAUGGAUUUGGACUUGUGUUGUACAUUUAUCCAGAUGGUUGGUGUUAGUUUCAUAUCUCGGAUUCAGUUGUUUACUAUUCUUUCAUAUUCAUAAAGCAAAUUUGUAAGUUUUUCCAUUCUCCUUCAUCUUCUUGGAAGUAGCUCGUACUCUUGGAUGAGUAACUAAUAAUCGAUCAAUUUAGUGUAUGAUUCAACCCCAUUAAAUAAUGGGCUUCUUUUAUCUUCUUUUGGCCAUUCUCCGGUUGGCAAGCAAUCCCAACAAUUUUGUGGUCAUCAAAGAUUCAAGUAUGUAUCUUUCUAUAUCUUUUGCUGGUAGUUAAGUAAUGGCAUUUCUGACUACUAUGCUGCCAUCUGCUCAAGGAAUCUCAGCAGAGUGAAUGUAUUAGUUCUUGGAAAUUUCCAUGUUCUCUUUGAGCUUUACUUUGACCUUGAAAGAGUUGGCUUGCGUGUGCAAGCAUAGACCCAACAGAUGUUUGCAAAUUACUAUGAUUGUUUAUAGAUAUUUAUGGUCGAACAGUGGUUCAAAUUUGGCCCAGGUCAGAAUCUAUUGUCAUUGAAGUAGGCUAUGAUUUUGACUCGUACAUUGUGCUGAUUAGCUAACCUUUUCACGCUUCAAUCCUAAAAUUUCCUGUCUGUGUUUUCUUCUUUCAGAUGACCUCUAUAGAUGCGGCAAUAGACAGAAGAAUAUCAGAAAGCAGACUUGCAGGGCGCAUGGCUUUCUAGACCUGAUCGUUUAGCUCUGGUUGGAAGGGUGCUCUCUCAGUCGUAGGAAAUUGUUUAAACUUAACAAAAUUCUACUUCAAAAAAGAAGUCUGCCUGUUCUGGAUUCAUAGGAGGUUUAGUUGUUGUAUUCUUUAGGAACAAAUAUUUACGCCAGGCAUUCAUUUUACCUAGACAUAGGAAUAUGGAAAAUGUAGCAGAUUGUCGUUGUGGGUUAGUGAUACAGCCGUGUGGUUUAUCUGGGGUAUGUAACCUGUUGUGCAAUUCGCUUUCAGGGCAUAUUCAAUUUAUUUGAGUAAAUUUUUUCUGGAUAAUCAUCUUUGAAUACUGAGGACUUGGGCAAAUUCCUCAUAUAUCCUGAAGUGGUAGUGGGGGGAGUCAACCCCACGGCCCACGGUUCCCAUAUUUUGCAGAAAAAAUAGAGGAAUGAAUGUAUAGACUCAAAACCUGUGUCGGCUCAAGAUUCCCAAGGCAGGUAGUGAGAUAGACGAUUUGCUGUAAUGAUUCUUCUCUUUUCAACUGUAGUGUAAAAUGCCAUUGAUAUGUGCGAGUUCGGUAUGCCAAUUUAAGGGAGUUGUGAUCCUGUCCACAGAGACGCAGCUACAUUUAAAGCUUAUAUGAGUUUGGUAUCCUAUUCCUUCUAAGUUGUAAGUUGUUGGGUUACGCAUUCAACGAAUGUUAUAACAACAAAAACAGGGUUUAACCAAAAUUUUAGGGUUUCGGCCAACUACAUCUCAAAUCAUACAAAUUUCUCUACUUUCAAAUCUCACACGUUGGAGUAUUUUUCUAAUUUGCUUCUAAAAAUGAGGAAAUUUUAAUUUGUGGCUUUUGAUUCGAAACUGUGCACGUUUGAUUCCUCAGGCAGUGCAAUCUUUUCCCGAAUUUGCGAUAAGCUUUUCCCCUCUGACGCGAAUGGAAGCUUGAUGAAAAAAAAAAGAGAGAUGAAAAUGGCAUAUUACGAUGUUAUUUUAGGACUUUCAAAUUAAAAAAUAUCUACAGAAUUAAUAAAAUAUAAUUAAAAGGUGUGCUGGUAGGGUAAAUAAAUUAAAUUAUUAAUCUCUUACAUAACUAAAAAGAAUAGAUAAAAAGAUUUGUUACAAUUUACAAAUCCAAAUAUUAAUUCAAAAAAACAAAUGUAAUAUCAAGGGAAGUGUUUUUUUUUUUUUUUUUUAUUAUCAAGGUAAACACGAGGGACAUUAUUUUUUUCUUUAUAAUAAUGGUGGUGUUUGGAUUAGUAUUUUUUGCAAUCCAUUACAACUAACAACUUGUUUGGGCAAACUUCUAAAGUCAACUUAUUUUAAUUAUUAUUUGUUUAAAAGUGUUUUUUAUGGUAAGAAGUUUUUGUGUCUAAUCAAUAAAUUCAAAAGUAUUUUUGAGCAAUAAUUAAUAUUUUUUCAAGCUUUUUAAAAUUAUUUUUCGUCCAAAUGUACUUUUAUUAAGAAGACUAUUUUUUUUAACUUCUAAAAAACUGCUUCUUGUAUUCUCCAAAAAUACUUAUUUUUCUCUAAAAAAUGUAAUCAAACAAUUCACUUUUAAAAAAUAAAUAUUUUUUUUUAAAAAAUAAACACUAGUCAAAAUACGUAAACUUGACCAAACAAGCAGUAAAAAAAAUAAGUCAAUCUUUUUUUUUUUUUGUGUAUUCAGUAAGAUUUGUACCCGCGACGUUAAGUUUCUUCGCACUCCACUUUGUUAACCAUUGGCUCACACCUUAUGCUCGUGAAUGACUUUUACAACCGCCCAAGUUUUAUUAGUUAACCUAAUUUAUAGAUAAUUUUCCCUCCGAUUUCACUUUCCCCUGUUCCCUCUCCUCGGCCGGCGAUUUCAGCCGGUUCAUCAUCUUUCUCACACACACUUGGACAAAGCCAAACCACCGACAGUCCGCCACCGUCGCCGCCGUUCCACCUCCUCCGCCAUAUCUCUCGCCACCAGUCACUGUAAGUUGAUCGAGUUCUACCAAUUGAUUUUUACAUUCAUGUUACUAUUAGGAUUUCCCUGCAAAAAUGUCUAGCUUUGUCUCAAAACUUCGACGACAUUUUGAUUUUUCUUGAGUUUGUAGAGUAAAGAUUUUGUAUGAAUUUGUACAUUCUGCUUACGGAGUUGUUUGACAUGUGAAUUAUAAUGCAUUAAUGAUAUCCAGAGUAAGGGAAAAGUAGAAUUUUGGCAUUAUAGUUUCAGUAACUGUUAACUCAGAUUUUUUUGAUAGCCGUGGUGUGUGGGCCAACUUGUGCUCAGCUCGACUAAUUCCACAGGUCCAUGAGACAACUGUCACCUCUCACCACUCUGUCCGCCAAGGUUAGGACAGAUGUGAGGAAAUUACCUAGUGUUGUUUUGUUUUUGUUUUUGUUGGGAUUUGAACGUGAGACUUUAUGGUGUUCAACCACUUACAUUGACAACUAGGCCACACCCUAGGGUGCAAUAACUGUUUACCUAGUUUUGGGGAUUUUUCUUGCACUUGAAUAGGCUUCAAUACAGAUUUGGGAUUUUUGUUCUUGAGUAUCUUCAUAAAUUCGGGUGUCAAAUAGGUGCUCCGUGUUGUUUAGUUAUUAUCCUACCUUCCGUCAUGGCAUGCGUUUACCUAUCUUUCAACUUUUCAGUGCUGCAAUCUUAUAUUGUUGAGCUUGAACUGUUAUAGGGUCUAUAUUUGACAUAGCAUGACAAGCAAUUUAUUUUGUUCCUAGCCUUUUAAAAAAUGAUACAGCUGUUGUUUAAAUAUUAUUGAAAAGAAUUAUACUUUGUUCUAGGCUGUCAUUAUCACUAACUUUUUCUGCUUGAUUGGUUUGUUUAUAUAAACUGAGAAGGCGAAUAACCAGAAGUGAAGUCCAAAAUAAAUCAAACCAAUCAAAUGUGUAUGCUGUUUGGACCAUGUAAAUAGUAACAUGUAUAGAUUUGAGUAGCUGGCGCUCGAACCUCCAAAUCCUGGGCGCCUUUGCACAUGCACAAAACACACACAGACGCAAAUACAGAAUGCCAAUGGACAUAUCAGUUUUUGUAUAUUUAUUGAAAUUUUCUUGGAGAAAGAACCAAAAUUUGGCGGAAAUUUUUGAGAGAGGUCCCGAGAUAUAGACACCCAAAAGGCCCAAACUUCUUUCUUUUACCGUACUGAUAAAAACUUUGAGGUGAUUGACAAUACUGGGUGCAGUUUUUAUUUUAUUUUGUUAUCCAUGAAAAUUAUUACGUUACUAUGGAUUAGGUGAAACCCAUCUAGCUUUGUACAUCUCAUAUUGCAGUUAGUAGUAAUAAUUUGAUUUUUGUAAAGAUUGCAUUAGUUAUUUUUCUCCUCAUAUUAUCUAGUUAUAUCUCGGUGUUGGACUGUGUAUUCAUAGACCAUUUAUCGUGUAUGUUAAUAUCCUCUAGUUGUAUUUCGAGGGAGAUUCACCGUAAUGAGGUGCAAAGUGUUUCGUUCUUUGAGGAGGGGACAGGGGAUUAGCUUUAGAGUAAGCAUUCUUUUUCUGUGAUUUAGAUGAUCUAGUUUUAGUUAUCAUUUUUGAACUUUACCUAUGUUCUGAAUUAUUUAUGAUUUAUGAACAUCGUCUCCUUUGUUUUACUAUGAGCUCUUUUUUUUUUGGUUCUUUUAAACUCUUUUUAUGUUCUGGUUCAGUCUCGGCCUUGAAAAUUGUAUCUACGGACCAUUGAAAUUAUGUGGCUUUGUUUAUAAUUCGGAACUUGAAAUUCGGCUAAACACAUACUGAAGUACUUAAAACUUGGUACGAGAAUCUGCUUAGGUACCUCAAUUUUCACAUUUCCCAUUUAGAUACUCGAACUACAUCCCAAACGUAUCAACUCUCUCUCUCUCUCUCUCUUUCUUUUUUUCAACUUUUUUUAAAACCCAAGUGUCCUUUCUCUUCUCUUCUUCAAUACAUAAACCCUAGACUUUAUUUUCUCCUAAUUCAAUCUGCACUCCCACUAAAGAUGAGAAGCCAUGUGGUUUAUAUCUUCUACUCUCUAUUUUAUCCAUUUCUAUACUGAAAUUGCAAAGACAAGCUGGUCAGAGACCUUGUUCGUUCCUCACAAACGCGAUUAUCCGGAUUUGGCUUUUUGUAUGAAUUGGAGAACUCCUAUCCACCAUCAUCACACACUUCGAAGAUUGGUGCGAAACCCAGAUUUCAAAUCCGUUGGCUAAAUAAUAAGUGGAAUGAAUCGCAGUCGUGAAUUUAUGCUGAAAUUCUUGAUUAAAACAUUGCUUUGUCACUUUGGGUUGAAGAAGUUUAGAUGAGAAUUUGAAGACCUCAAAGUUCAUUUGAAGCUUCGUGCGAAAAAAUUCCAUCUCUUGCUGUCAAUUGUUAUAGAGCUUGACUUUGGAAUUGAAAUUGUUUGGCUUGAACUUGUGCGAACAUCGAGAUUACUGGCUGUUGGAUGGACAUUUUGAUUCUUCAGCUUGAUGUACAAUCUCGAAAUCAGAAAAUUGUUUGGGCCCUGGAGUGGAUUGGAGAUUCCAUUGAAGUCUAUUUGAAAUCUUCAUCUGAUUCAACGUAGGAACUUUUCACGUGCUUCUGUUUUAUUGGCCACAUUAGCUUGUGAACUACACAGCCCUUUUGCAUUUGAUUGCAAUUGUGUUUUAAGUGACACUUGAGUUGUAGUUGGAGUGUCUAAAUGGGAAAAGUAAAAGGAGAGGUACAUAAGCAGAUUUCCGUGCAAAAUUUAAGUGUCCGCAUAUGUGGUUGGCCUUGAAAUUUUACAAAAGAGAUAAUCACAUGCUCUUUUAAACUCAUUUUAGUGGUUACAAUUUCUCUUAUCAUUUAUGUUCUUUUCAGUGUUGACAGUAAGUUCAUGGACCUUUUAGAUGACAUUUUUGCCGGUGGUGCUUCAAAGACUGGUAAGUGGGGAGAAAAUGGGUUUUUCGGUCUGCGAUGUUAUUUAUUCUUAUUAUUUCAAGCUUUUGCUUUGUAUUGUUAUUGGAUGCAGUCAAGGCUGGCGGCAAGUUUCAACCCAAGGCGAAGCCUCGUCCAGUGAAAAAAGGUCCAGCUGUUGCGUCCUCAGCUGUUUCUUUGACGUCAAAACCCACCGGUGAUACUGUAGCAACUGAUUCCUUUGAGGCUCUUAAGACUGCAAAGAAUUCUCAAAAUUGUUAGCUUCUUGCCUUUGUGUUAUAUUAUUAUUCUUACCUUUUCCGGAAUAUAUUGUUGCUAGACUUCUUCAAGAAUGGUUUUCUGUUGUUAAAUGUAAGCAGGCUAUGAACAAAACUAUGUGUCAGCAGAACCUUCCUUGGAGCAUCCUCUUAAGGCGGAAACUUUGGGUCCAUCUGUUGGUUCAAGUCUAGAUGCAAGUAUGGUAAUGACCGAUACCAAUGAAGAUUGGAAAUCUUGCUUUGAAAAAUCUGAGGGAGAGGUGAUAGUUUCUUAUUCAUAUUUUGAUCUCGUUAACAAACCUUUUAUAUCCUUAUUAAAGUUCUUUAAUUUUCAGAAUGCAGACAUAUAUAUAGGUCUGGAUUCGUUUGAUGAUUUACUUCCUCACUCAAGCGGCAUAGGUUACAACCAUUCCUCUUCUGUUCUCUUAUUGCUGAAUUUUCCUACAUAUUUCUGUCAAUUGGAAUCUCUUUGAGCCGACGGUCUUUUGGAAACAGCCUCUCUACCUCACAUAGGUAGGGGUAAGAUCACCCUACAUUCUAUCCGCCUCAGGCCCCACUUGUGGGAUUACACGGGGUAUUUUGUUAUAUUGCUAUCAAUUGGAUGCUGCAAAUGAGUUCACUUCUUUUUGAAUGAUUGGCCUUUUAAAGAUUAAGUUAUUAAAACUCUGUGCUGCAUAUAAUGCAGAGAGUUCUACUCCUGCUACAGAUCCAUCUGCUGUUCAUGUUGCUGGUGCAGAGAAGCGACAAGAACAGUUUUUAGAUCCAGCUUCUUCAGUUGACGAUUCAGCUCCUAGUGCCUCCCAUCUUCAAUCUGAUGAAGUUGCAGCAGCCCAAGAUCCAUCAACUUUCCAAGGAAGUGUUCUUCCUGUUAGUGGAAGUUGUCAGAUGGUCAAAUUCAUGCCUUUGCCUUCUUUUUACUCUGAGUAGAGAAGCAUUGACAUUUAAAUUCCUUGUCACAGUGAUGAAAACUCCAGCUUUGUCUUUUGCAGGAGAUGGACCCCUAUCCUUCCCUGGAAUCUGAUAUCCUUGGGGUAACUACUAUAUCUGGUAUGACUGAAUUUUCAGGUUCCUGCACUUUUAUGCUAUUAUAUCCUGCACUUCUUUUAAAUCACUAAUCCUUAUUCAGGGCAGAGUAGAAGAUUCCAACCCAAGCCCAAGCUACGAGUGUACAGAGAGAGAUAUGAUACAAUCAUUCCUGAUUCAGAUGUAGGCGACUCUGUGUCAAGUCAGCCAGAUUCACACUACGUUCAUUCUGAAAUGGGUUUUGUGGAUAAUGGGAAGGAACAUGAAUUACCUGCUGCCGUUGUCCUUGAUUCCUUAGCCAGAGGAUUUGAUAACAAUAUUAUUACAGAAUCUGCGCAUGAAUUUUCUGUGCAUGAAGAAUAUGUUGUGGAGGCCUCUCUUCCAGAUUCUGGCAUCCCAGCAAAACACUCUGAGGCUACUGUUCAGAUACCUGAGGAACCUGUAAAUCCACAACUUGUUUUUUCAAAUUGUUUCAGUUAUUUCUCUAAUUUUUGCAUUAGUUUGCCUUGUUGGAGUUCUUUGUUCCACUUCUUGACCCACUUGCAACUUUCUGUUUAGGUAUCUCAGAGGCCAAAGACUAAAAAACAAAAAGUACGUGCAUCUAAUCUUUCUGCAAUUAGCGAAGAGAACAGAGAGAGUAGAUCAUUAAGGAGUAGAAGAAAGUCUGUGAAUGCAAAUAGACUAGUAGAUGAGUCCGAAGAAGUAAUUGAUGAUGGGGAAUAUGUGCCUGAACAUCCUAAUGAUUCUGUUACAAAUGGGAAUGAUGAUGAUGUUCUGGUGGAAAAUGACUCACAAGGGGAAACGACACUGAAGAGGUCCAAGAAAACAGUUACUAAGGAAGGAAAACGAGUUAGGAAGAGUAAAAAGACCGCCGAAGCAUCUGAUCAGGUAGCCAACAAGAAGCCUAAAAAGUUUUCUCAUUCCACUCGUCAAAAGAGGAGAACAGGUAAGCCUAGUGGGUAUUGCUGACAUCUGGCGUAAUUAUGGUAAUGAACAUUUUUAACCAGGAAUAUCCUUUUUUACAGUGGACAAAGCUUUGCUUGAGGCUCCUGAGGAUGAGAUUGACUAUUCAAAGGUGCCUAUUAAGGAUAUAAUUUUAUUUNNNNNNNNNNNNNNUUAAAAAGAGGAAAAUUAAAAUGAUUUUUUUUUGUGACACAGUCGUCCUUUAUUCUUUUGUUUCCUUGCAGAAAAAAGAUCCAGCAGCGUCACAGAUACCUACUACAGAUCAGAGGUAUCAGAAGCUUAUAUACAAUUAAAUAUACUAAUCUGCAUUUAUCAUUGCUUUAUUUGUGAAAAAAAAUACUAAUCCAUGUUUAACCAUAUGCUUAGGCAUUUUUCAUUUACUGCACAGUUUAAAUAAAUUUGUUCUUGUUGAUAGUGAAAAUGUAGGUGAUGUGUAUAGGUUAUUAUUGGCUCGAUACAUUCUAGUCUCCAUUCAAAAUGUCUGCUUCUCUCAUAUCAGAUCCAUUUCUAACUAUCAAGAGCUGCACUGGUCUUUUUUAUAUUGCCUACAGCAGAUAAUGUGUGUAGGUUAUUUUGGCACUAUACAUUCUAGCCUCCUCACUAUGUGGGAAUAAACUGGGUUUGUUGUUGAUACAUUGUAGCCUCUAUCCAUAAGGUCUGCUUCUCUCAUAUCAGGUCCAUAUUCUAACUAUUCGAGGGCACCACUUGUCUCUUUUAUAUUGUCUACAAUCUCAUUCUUUUCUUAUAGAACUGUUCUAGCUUACUUGUCCAAGCACUUUUAUCCAAAUUAUGUGUAUAUUCCUCCCUUAUGUCCGUUUGCCUCUGCUAUUCCUCUUUUUCUACGCCACAUUGACCAAGUGCACCAUCUUCUUCAACCCUAGCAUCAUGAUUGUUCAAGAAAUGGUGAAGUGGCAUUUGCUAACUCUAUUCAAUCUUUUUUUUAACCCAGCCUGAUGACCCGGA